AGAUCGGACACUCUUGGUGCUGUGCUGGUGCCUGGCUGAAGAAACCAGUUGUGGGGAGCUGAUUAUUUUGGCAGGAGGCAUAAGGAUCCUUGGAGACAUGGCUGGACUGACCAGUGGCCCUCAUCAAGAGUUUGACUUUAGCCCUGGAGACUCCGGCUGUUCAGAGCCAAGACCUCCUCUCUUCACCCAAGGUCUAAUCCAGCAGAAGUAUGCAGCAUUUCCUGCCAGGUCCUGAGCAUCCCUGUCUCCUGCGUAGCCCCCGCGCGUGCUCCAAGGCCGUGCUAGGCAUCGCCGGUGCCCCCAGCCAUCCCCUGCACGCAGCUGGCUCGACUCCACUGCCGUCGGAUGCUGUCUUUCAAAUUGCUGAAGUCAAAUUAGGGAAAACCAGCAACUUUUGAGUUUCUUCUCAGAGAGCUGAACAAACAGCUGUGCCAAAGCACGGAAUGGAUGGCACAUCCCAUCAUUGCUCUGGAGGAGAGGUGAGAUUUGGAGGAGACGGUAGAGAAGGCAAACUGUCAACAUCAUGAAUAUAACAGAGAUCAUUGAGUUUCUGACAUGCACGUAUUUUGAGGAAGGAGUAGGAGCUAUGAAACUAAGAAGAAGAUGAAGCUCUCCCUGGCUUUUCUUCUAAGAAGAGGGCUUUGACGAGAGCCUCACAUCUUCUGAAAUGGCAACAGAGCAAGCAAGGAGCAGUGCUGCCAGAAGUCACCUCAUCAGCCAGACUUUUAAGUCCUAAUUCAUCUUUAUAUGGGACUGGACCAAGGCUGGUGUCCUGCUGCAGGCUCCCCUUAUAGACCUGUUGGCUUUCUGUAAGGAAAUUACACAACGAUUUCCAUGGAAAAUAAUUCUGGAGAUUCAGCGUUGACAGGGGUUGUUCUGAAUGUAACGGGAUCCCGUGGCAGAUGUAAACCAGACUCCAGGCAUUUGCUGUGUGUUUCACCAAGGAGAGCUUUCAUGAGAACAGAAUUUCUGCUAGACCUCGAGCUAUUCUUGUCUUCAGCUUUCAGAGGAGGAGGAAGAAGAAAACUGAUCACCGCCCAGGUGUGUUACCCCCAUCCAGACCUUGCUAAGGGCAUGAAUGGUUGGUCCAUAUCCCCGGUUCAUAGCAGAGCACUCGAUGCAAGGUGAGGUCUCGCUGCUGUCUCAUUGCCACGAGCAGCUGCUGCUCUCAAGUCUUUCCCAUGGUGCUGCCCAGGCGAACGCUUGGAAUUUUGAUACAGCUGCAAGGAUCGCUGCUGACUGCCUCACCGGCGGCAUGGGAAGAUUUCCUCUUGCUUUGAUUAGAGCACGGGUUGUUUUCCCAGUGGGACACUGCUUCUGGCUGUUCCUGGCAUGGUCACUGAUAGCGCAGGAACACAAGGGUGCCAGGAAAGCCGCAGGCGUGGAGGAUGGCUGGAGCUGUUUCCCCUGAGGAGCUGCACGCUGUAAGGCCCCACACAGACGCAGCGUGGCAGUCUUAUCCAGAGCACCGUGCCUGGUGCCCGUGGGAGCUUAUUCCCACACCUGACCUUGUUUCUGACUUUCUCAUCCCCUGUACCCCCAGCUCCGGCCACCCUGGCUGCUGACCCUCCACCCAAAGCCACUGCUUUGCUGAGCAUCCAGGCUUAAAGACCUGCAGCCUCCUCAGCCGUCGCAGGGCUCAGCCUCAGCAAAACAUUCAGAGGGUCCUUCGGAGCUGCUCAGCAUCCAUCAGGACACAGGCACCUAUACCCCACAGGUUUCCUUUUGGGCCCUGAAGUAAUUAUCUUAGAGGAACCUCCUCACUGGAUGAGGUUGUGGCAUUGCAUCUUCAGAGCUCUCCAGUUGCCAAGAAGAUGUGUCCUCCACCAAAGCAGAGAUUGCCAUCCCCAAAAAUGAAAGGAAUAUGCAAAUCUUUCACCCCACCUUCCCUGUGGAUGAAAAGAUACCUGUGUACGAAGAGGAACUUGUCCUCAAGACAGAGUUUAUAUGGUCACCACUUGGAUGCCAUAUCAUUACAAGAAAGAUGUCACUGUGUCUGUUAGCAGGGUCCCUGCAUGCCCAAAGAAAUCCCAGAUGAGGAGCCUACAGCUCUCAAAAUCACAGAUUUUCUCAGCCCCCUGUGUUCCAGCAUGGUCUGGCUAUUGGUGUUGCAGCAUGAGCACAGAUAACCUUCCUCUGGGACAACCACUUCAGGUGGGACUGAGAUCCAGCUUGAAGGUCACCAAGCACUCAAACCAACUGGUCCCACCAAAGUUCCCCCAGCACGGAAAAGCAGGAUUUUCCACUCCCUCAGACUUCUUUACCAUUUGCUCAGAGGCUCAGAUGGAAAGACUGCCUCGUCCCUGCCUCGAGGACAUCUAGGAGAAACGUCCCCAGCCCUGCACAGGACAGCUGUGACUCCCUGUAGCCCUCUGCCCACGGUGCUCCUUCCCAGGAGAGACUGAGAGAGAGCAAUCUUAGACUUGGAAGAAGGUAAUUUGAAUUGGAUGUGAAGUUGUUACUAAUUUAAUGUUUAUCCAAUAACAAGGACUUUGCA